GAAGCUUGCUUCUCUCCGGCGACGAGUGGCGAACGGGUGAGUAAUACAUCGGAACGUGUCCGCUCGUGGGGGACAACCAGCCGAAAGGUUGGCUAAUACCGCAUGAGUUCUACGGAAGAAAGAGGGGGACCCGCAAGGGCCUCUCGCGAGCGGAGCGGCCGAUGACUGAUUAGCCGGUUGGUGAGGUAACGGCUCACCAAAGCGACGAUCAGUAGCUGGUCUGAGAGGACGACCAGCCACACUGGGACUGAGACACGGCCCAGACUCCUACGGGAGGCAGCAGUGGGGAAUUUUGGACAAUGGGCGCAAGCCUGAUCCAGCUAUUCCGCGUGUGGGAUGAAGGCCCUCGGGUUGUAAACCACUUUUGUAGAGAACGAAAAGACACCUUUUAAAAAAGGGUGUUGCUGACGGUACCUGAAGAAUAAGCACCGGCUAACUACGUGCCAGCAGCCGCGGUAAUACGUAGGGUGCGAGCGUUAAUCGGAAUUACUGGGCGUAAAGCGUGCGCAGGCGGUUGAGUAAGACAGAUGUGAAAUCCCCGAGCUUAACUCGGGAAUGGCAUAUGUGACUGCUCGACUUGAGUUUGUCAGAGGGAGGUGGAAUUCCACGUGUAGCAGUGAAAUGCGUAGAUAUGUGGAAGAACACCGAUGGCGAAGGCAGCCUCCUGGGACAUGACUGACGCUCAGGCACGAAAGCGUGGGGAGCAAACAGGAUUAGAUACCCUGGUAGUCCACGCCCUAAACGAUGUUAACUAGUUGUUGGGAAGUAAUAUUCUCAGUAACGCAGCCAACGCGAGAAGUUAACCGCCUGGGGAGUACGGUCGCAAGAUUAAAACUCAAAGGAAUUGACGGGGACCCGCACAAGCGGUGGAUGAUGUGGAUUAAUUCGAUGCAACGCGAAAAACCUUACCUAGCCUUGACAUGCCAGGAAGCUCUUGUAAUGAGAGCGUGCCCGCAAGGGAAUCUGGACACAGGUGCUGCAUGGCUGUCGUCAGCUCGUGUCGUGAGA
rnacentral:rRNA from 1 species